rnacentral:rRNA from 1 species
AAUGAACGUUGGCGGCGUGGAUUAGGCAUGCAAGUCGUGCGAGAAGCUUCCUUCGGGAAGUGGACAGCGGCGAAAGGGAGAGUAAUACGUAGAAAUCUGCCCCUGAGUCCGGGAUAGCGUUGGGAAACUGGCGGUAAUACCGGAUAACGUCUUCGGACCAAAGGUGUGAUUCCGCUUGGGGAUGAGUCUACGUCCUAUUAGCUAGUUGGUGGGGUAAUGGCCUACCAAGGCAACGAUGGGUAGCGGGUGUGAGAGCAUGAUCCGCCUCACUGGGACUGAGACACUGCCCAGACACCUACGGGAGGCAGCAGUGGGAAUUUUCCGCAAUGGGCGAAAGCCUGACGGAGCAAGACCGCGUGGGGGAGGAAGGUUUUUGGAUCGUAAACCCUUUGUCAAGGAAGAAGCUCUGACGGUACUUGACGAAUAAGCCUCGGCUAAACUCCGUG